rnacentral:tRNA from 1 species
GCGUCGGUGGCAGAGUGGUCAAUUGCACUUGACUGUAAAUCAAGCGCCCAUCGGGCUACGUAGGUUCGAAUCCUACCCGACGCA